GGGGUGGGGGGUGGGGAGUGAGUUGGGAGAAUGGCAAUGAAGAAUGGACAAAAGGGUGGCGACUGUCCCACAUCGGAGGUCAGUCCAUUCAAUGGUUUGUCGGCACUUGUAUUUAUUAACAAUUAGAAUGGUGGUGACUGCACAGCGGACGCUAAUGAAUGUGGAUUUGAACGAACAAAAGUGUACAUUUUUAUUCAAGUGAUUCCCUUAUUUACAAGAUACAGUUUUGAUAAUCAAUGGUGAGGGAAAGAUACGUACCACAAAAAAGACCACUUCUUGAUGAGCAAGAGCUGCAAUUAAGGAUGGAAAUCGUUGUUUUUGAAAAUUAACAUUGCUGAAAAAGCAUUUCGAUCUUUCGAGACAAUACCUGAUGAUGGUAUCGCUUCCCAGCAGCAAAUGACUGCAAAGCUAUUGACUUGCACUUGCCCAACAAUGAAUAGGC